AGAGAGAGAGAGAAAGGGAGAGAGAGCAGAUUGUGGUAGUCUCAGAUCUUGGCUGUGGUGAGGACACCCAGUAGAAAUGCAUUCCUGAGCCAGACAGUGAGGACGCGCGAGAGAGAACGAAAGCACGUAGGAAGAGUCGUGACACAAUUUAAAUAUCCAGUGACCACGUCUGACUGCCUGUGACCUCUGCUAGACUUGCACAGUCCUCGCACACCAGCCACACGCGAGAAGGGUUUUCCUGAGAUCCGUGACUGAGGGACAGAUCCUGCCACUUGAGUCUGUGCCAUGCAGUAUUGAGUUGAGUGGAGCCCAGCUGAAGUGAUCUGCUCUGAAGACCAUUUUUCCCGUUAAACCACCCUAUCUGAUCCCAGAUGGAACUGAAAGUGUGGGUGGAUGGAGUGGUGCGGGUGGUAUGCGGCCUAUCAGAGGAAACAUCCUGCCAAGAUGUUGUCAUUGCGCUAGCUCAGGCCAUUGGUCAGACAGGUCGUUACGUUCUGAUCCAGCGCCUUAGGGACACAGAGAGACAGCUUCUGGCAACAGAGAGGCCUCUGGAGUCUCUGGCUAAACUUGGCCAACAUGGCAGUGAGGUUCAGUUCUUUCUUCGCCGUACUGGUCCAAGCACUAGUGAUGGAGCUGUGUCAAAACAAGAAAGACCGUCUCCCCUCCCGCUGCUGAAGAAUUUUGAGCCAGAACUUUCAAAACGCAGUCAGCCGAAGAAAUCCCACACCUUUAAUCUGGGCCCGUCUACAUCCCCAAGAUCCAAAGCCAAACAGUUCAAGAGGUCUCCUCGGGACUCCCCAGAGCAGAGAGCCUGCCCCUCCCCUUCUCCCAGCCCUGUAUCUGUACAUGUGCCAUCCCCAUCUCCUUCACCACCUAUUGGGCCAUCCAAAGAGGACGUGUUACGCAAGGUUCUUCACCAGCAAGAGAGACUGAGGGCCAUUGAGGCCCAACUAGAAGCCCUUGAGAGGGAGUCACGUCCCUCCCCAUCUCCUUGUCCUUCCCCUGUCUCUGACGCUCGCUUAUUAGAGGAGAUAGAUACUUUGGAGCAAGCACUACGGAGGAACCAGGCCGAGCUUGCCCAUGAGGAAUACUGGGAAGAAGAGUUGCAAGCAGAGGUGGAGAGGGAGCGAGCAAUGAGGAGGACACUCGGGGAGCUCCACACCAAACUGGAUGACUGUGGACGGAGACUCCAUGACUUCUCAGUUCAUUCUACUCAACUGGAGCAAGAGAUCCAGCGGGAAAGAAAAGCAGAUCGACCCAAGGCCGUUAAGGCCAAUGGUCCCCAAGAGUCGCUAGAUGCAGUGAAGUCAGAACUUCAGAUUCAGGAGAAGCAUGGGACUGAGCUGGAAGAGCAGCUGUCUGAGACUGACAAGGCUCUGGGGAAGGCGGAGUCUUUGCUGCAGUCCAAACAGGAGGAGUUGGAGGAACUGAACAAGGAGCUGAGGCAAUGCAACCUGCAGCAGUUUAUUCAGCAGACAGGUGUCCUGCCUGCGCACAGUCAGUCUCGCACAGAACUCCAGGAGCAGCUGGAGCAGUUAGAACUAGCACAUCUUCUGCAGGACGGAUACAAGAACGGCCGCAGUGCGACGCCGAUAGAAUCGCCACCUCGUCCCACUGCCAAACAGUUCCUGGGACAUCCACGCAAUCUACAAAACCCUCUAGUGUCCAGUCUCAACCCUGAGGGUGUGUAUGUGUGAGAACCUGCUGCUACCAGAGUCCAUCCUCUGCUUUUCUCCUGCCCCUCUCCUGGUCCCAGAACCCCUCAUCCCAGCACUUUCUCCUGCAGCGUGGUUGAAUUUAAACAUUACAGCUGCAGCUGUCUGGUUUGGUGAUAGGUGGUGGACGCAUCUGUGUGGUGGCUCCUCUCUCACCUAAACCUUUUGCUGAACUCUGUCCUUUUUGUUAUUAUUUUAUUACAAUCAGCAGAAUCUGCUACAGACCCUCAUUUCUACACCAUUCUUGUUUAUUCUCCCUGUCUCGCCAUCUUUUCGUGCCAAAUUCAAACCCUCCUCCUCCCGCCCUCCUUGUUUGCUUCUGGACUAACAGUUGGUGCUUUGGUUUUACUUUCAUGCAGCUGGGAGCUUGUUCCUAAUUCCCCUCUGUAACACACAGUGUGUCACCCCUUCCCCCAAGUCAACAAAUGUAUGUCGACAGCUGCUUUUCGAUAUAAACGAGCUGUAUUACCACAUUAGCGUGGCACACUGGGAAUGACUGUCACAGACAUUUUGAUUGUAGCGCUGUUUUUAUACGGCGACAUGGAAAAAUAAGAUACCAGUGUCCUUUCAGUUUGCCUUUUGUGUAUGGAUACUGUUUAUAUGUAAGCAGGUGUAUCUAUACAUUGCCUUCUACUUUGGUGAUGCUUGACUUCCAAAGAACAACAGCUUUUCAUGGAAGGCUGUUCAAAAAUAUGUCACUCUCCUGUUCUCCUCCCAUGUGAAACCCUGGCCCGUGCUUCCUUACACAGAAAUGCAUCCUCCCACUUUACGCUGUGUAUGAAUUCAGUGCAAUUUAUUUUUUGUAGAUUAUCUUCUUCCACUGUAAUUUGGUGCAACAUUUAUAUUCAAUGGAAGGAUGCAUUUUGGAUGUAGUGCAGUAUGGCCAUGGUUAUGCACCAUUCUCACUUUAGCGGAUAUGCAUCCCGGAUGGUCACUGUCACUGUGACAAACUGGAGUGAGGAGAUCACAGUUGUCCACCAAUGUGAUCUAGCAUGCAGUGUAAUAAUGUAACAUGCUGGCCGUGUACAGUGUAAUCGGUGCAAAAAAGCAUAACUUUAGCAAAACCCUGGUGCUUCCGGAAAAAAUCCCAGUAAUGUUACAGCAAGUAUCACUACUCCAUGCAGUAAUGUGAAUGUGAAAUAUUGCAGUGCUGCUACUGCUGCGCAAGACUUCCUGAAGUGUGCAAAGUCAUGGUCCAGAUCCUGAAGUUUUUUGUUUUGAAGUAAUUUCCAAACUCUUUAUGUAUUUCAGAAAAAUUCUAUCAUAAUCCUAACUUUUAACCUAAUCCUGAUUCUAAACUAAAACCAUUUAAGAGAAAGCAAUUUUCAAGGUUGCUAGCUAGGUAAUACAUCAGGAUUUGAGCCUUGCAAGAUAUUCCAGCUUUGUCCACAUUUGCAUAUUGCAUGGAAUAUGGCUCCACAGAAAAACAAGGGUAAAGUAUGUCAAAGGUCAUGACAGAUUUUUUUAUAGUAUAAAAUAAAAAUUAAUUCACGGUUUAAACAAAGUCACAAAACAAUAACAGAAUUUCCUGCUUUACCAAGAACACCCUCCCAGACGCCUUCUAAAGUUUUCCAAAGGUAUGGACAAGGUUUCAAACCAUGAACUUCCAGGAUGCAUAUCUGUGAGUUUGAGAAUGCGGCUUUACUUGCUUUGUUGUCCUUAUUUUCAUUUGGGAUAGGUUUCCCUUGUUCUUUGCUGUUAUCACAUUGAAGAUUUGACUUGUCAUAAAUAGAAUCAAGUCUCAGUGUGCCAUAUAUUUGAAGCUACAAUUUAUAGGAUUUAAGGGUGUUUAUUAGCAGUAGAACCCUCUGUUUAUUAGUGUACCCACAAACAAUGAAUCGGUGUGUUGUGAUAUGCUUAGAAUGAGCUUAUCUAUAUGGGAGUGUGCCCCCCUCAUGGAGACCGCCAUGAUGCACCAACAUGUUCAUACAGUAGUCCUCAAGGAACAUACAUCCUCUGCCUUUUGUAUUUUGCAGAGCGGCUAGAAGACUACAGAAAAAAAGGUGUAAUCAGGGGUUGCUCCACUCUAAACUCGCUUCUGUUGGUUAAUGCAGUCUAACGUGUUUGACAACCCUACUUUUGUUAAAUGGAGGAUUACGCGCAUGUAUUGCUUAUCACAAGAGAAGGCAAGUGAGUGUGAAUCCCCAUCAUCAAAGAAGGAAAAAUGUAAAGGGAAGCAAAAUUGGGACUGGUGACAUAAUGCAAUCUGCAAACUCCCCCCUAGAUGGCACUAAAUCCUACACGCUGUAGCUUAAAGAUCAAAUUCUAACAAACUUUUGUGAACCAAAAAAGAUGUUAUUUUCUUUACUUUGGAUGGACAGUCCACAGCAUCAAAAAGCAGUACUUACUGCACCUGAGCACUUAUGAUGAUGACAGGUCAAAGUGUUGUGGGCUUCCGUGUGUGCUCUCUCCUUCAGUGUGGUGUUUUCUCUGUGAGUUUAAAUAGCACUUUCUUGCUCAGGAGGCUGUACAGUUGAGUCAGAAGUAUGCUUUAGAAUACUGCCAUGGGUCACAGUCCACAGCCCCUCCAGGUAAAGGAACAAGCACAGUAUUGGUCCUUUGCUGGUGAUCUGACUCAUCUCGUUUCUUUUAGGGUGGUGUGACAAUCUUUAUUGAUCCAGGGCGCUCCUGCUGUUCGAUAACAAAGUGUUUUCCAAAAGGAUCAUCAUCCACGCUUAUUUUUGUGUCUUGCAGUCCUGACAUCCAGAGAGUCAUCAUGGAGAUAAAACAUGGACCACAGGGCCAAGGGAAACUUGUUCACUGUUCUCUCACCUGUUUGGUUUAACCACUUCCUUUGUAAUUAAUGUCAUUAUUCAAUCUCAUAUACAUAUUGUACAUACAUAAGAAAAAUAUAUUUACAGUUUUGCUAUUGUAAACAAUGCAGAGUAUCUGUAUGAAAUGUAAAAAAAAAAUUUUAGGAAACUUUUACCUAGCACAAUUAUUACUAUGUAUUUAAAUAUAAUAAAAGGUGCAUUGUGUUUUAGAUAA